rnacentral:rRNA from 1 species
GACGGAGGGUGCUAGCGUUGUUCGGAAUUACUGGGCGUAAAGGGCGCGUAGGCGGCCGUCUGCGUCGGAUGUGAAAGCCCGGGGCUCAACCCCGGAACGGCAUCCGAUACGGGACGGCUGGAGACCGGGAGAGGAGGGUGGAAUAGCCAGUGUAGAGGUGAAAUUCGUAGAUAUUGGCUGGAACACCGGUGGCGAAGGCGGGCGCUG